rnacentral:lncRNA from 1 species
GUGCCGUUUUCCUUGUCCCGAGCUUCAAAAUCAAGAAGAAAAAAUGAUUUAUAAAUUGAAAAGUUAUACAAUAUAGUCAUUAAGUACAUAAAAUUAUUCUCUUACAAUGUUAUAUUUAUGUAAAAUAUAAAACAUAAAACAUAAUUCGAACAUGUCUUUCAUCCUAACUAUCAAUGUUAGAUGGAAGAAGAAUAAGGGAAUACUUGUGCUUAAAAUCUUCAAUAAUGGUAGAAAUAGAUUCAAGAUUUUCUAGAGGCUCUCAUGUGUUGGUUGAUUAUAAGUAAAUAAGUUAUAAAUAAUACAUAUAGAAAUAGUGUUUUGUUAACAUUAAUAUCACAGAAAUGGUAAAAAAAAAUGUGGUUUUUUUAGAAGUACUUAUUAUACUUUUGCAUUUAUGUAAUUUAAAAUUUUGCCAAUAAUUUUUUUUUACGUUUUCAUGCUUUUCCCAUAAUUGAAAUCCAUAAAAUAAUAUUAAUUUCUUUUCAUUUAAUAAGUUGGAAGAAAAUCAUCUCACUUUAUAUAUUAUGUAUAUAAACAAAAAUAAAUUAGUUGUCUUUAAAAGAAAAGAAAACUAAUUUAUUUCUAUAUAUAUAUAUAUAUAUAUAUAUAUAUAUAUAUAAUAUUGAGAUGAUUUAUGAGGAUUUAAAUGGAAAAAAAUAUAAUAUUAUUUUAUUGAUAAAGGUAAAACACUUUUUUUACAAUGAUUCUUAUAUUAUUUGAACUUUUUUUUCUUCUUCAUAAUAUGUUAUAUUUUGUUUAACUUAAUUACACUCGUUAUUAUUUUUGUUUAAGAAAUUAUAUUUAUCUUUCCUAUAUGAGUAGUAAGUGGUAAGUAUAAUGUAUGUACAUAAUAGAUGUGUUUUGUGCAAGUUUAGAGAAAGGAUUAAAUAAUUUGUAAAAUUUCACUGUGUCUCGGUUUUUAAUUGAUACUCCUAAACUAAUUUUACAAGUAGAAUAGAGAAAACAAAAAUAAAAACAAUGGAGUUGAGACUAAUGAUUGAGAACAACCUUCUUUUUGUUAAUGAAUCAUUUUGCAUAACAAUUUCUGUUUGAUUUAACAUUCUACAUUAUUAAAAUUAGAAUAAAAGUAUGAAGUAAUCACCUGAGAGAAAAGAUAUUAGCUGAAGUUGUUGCAAAAAACGCAUCAUCCACAAGAAAAGUACCAUUUGCACCUCCUCCACAAUCACUACACAACAAAAAAAGUAAAUAGAGAGAACAUUAAACCCAAAUCAGAAAUCCAAAAUUCUAAUCUAACUUUUUAUCAACAAUGAAAACUUUAUUAAUCAAGAGAUAAAAUAUUAUGAGAAUAGGUGGUACUUUUAUCCACUGAAUCCUUGAAAUUAACAAAGAGAAAGACAAGUUGAUGUCUCAUCUCUUCUAUUAUUAAUUGAAAUCAUAAACAAAGAGCUUAGAGAAUAAUAUAUAGAGGAAAGAAAAUGAUUACCUGCGAUUUGAAGUGGAGAACAAUAAAGAAUAACAAGAGACGAUCAUGUCUCUUGCUCCCUUGGGUAGUUAGGGACAAACCCUACAUUUGUUAGAGAGGAGAA